AAAUAUUUCUUUUUAGAUUACGAUUUUAUUACCAUGGUAUUGCCGUGCAAAAAGCUUGGUAUUUCCAUUACGCAAGGUUGCCAACUGAGGUUUAUUCAAAACAUCAUUUUCAAUUUUGCUCUAUUUCAUGCCAUCACAUGUCAGUAUGUGCUUAUUGUUUUUAUCAUUCAGUUGGUCUUCUUGAUGAUCGCAAACGCUUGGGUAAAAUAAGUAUUUUCAGUAGAUGACAUAUUACCAAACAUGUUAUGAAGCUAUUUGGCAUUUGGAUGAUAGCUUGAUUUUUUUUCUAGCCAAGAAAAUGAGAUACUGGAUCAUCUUCAAUGAGUGUGGAAACAUAAUCUCAACAAUGUGAGUGGAUAUUUUAUUGCAGAAGUUAAAAAGCUGCGGGAAAGUAGCCACAAUGUUUUCUGGCUAACAUGUGUUCGUAUGUAUGGACUAGGAGCAUGGCAUGACUGGUAUUAAUAACUGAAGAGUAUUUAGAAGAUACCUGUCUGCAGUAAAGUUAUUUGUGGAAUGGAAGAAAUUAGUUGUAUUAUUGCAUUUUGAAGUUCAUGUGUUUUAAGUCUAUUAGAUCUGAUAUUUGUAAAAGAUAUAUGUGGCUAUAAAGCAGUGAUCUGUUAACUUUUACACUA